CCUACGGGAGGCAGCAGUGGGGAAUAUUGCACAAUGGGCGAAAGCCUGAUGCAGCAACGCCGCGUGAAGGAAGAAGGGUUUCGGCUCGUAAACCUCUAUUAAUAGGGACGUAAGAAAUGACGGUACCUGAAUUGAAGCCCCGGCUAACUACGUGCCAGCAGCAGCGGUAAUACGGAGGGGGCAAGCGUUAUCCGGAAUUACUGGGUGUAAAGGGUGAGUAGGGGGGAUGGUAAGCUAGAUGUGAAAGCGUUGGGCUUAACCCGAGGAUUGCAAUUGGAACUAGCAGGCUAGAGUACAGGUGAGGAAAGCGGAAUUCGUAGUGUAGCGGUGAAAUGCGUAGAUAUUAGGAAGAACACCGGUGGCGAAGGCGGCUUUCUGGACUGAAACUGACGCUGAUGCACGAAAGCGUGGGGAGCGAACAGGAUUAGAUACCCGUGUAGUC
rnacentral:rRNA from 1 species